UGGCACAAUGACAUUUAAUUUGAUGACCGUAAAUGCACCGCCAAAAGAGCCAUCAAAAUGUGCAAUCAAAUUAUUGGACUUCCUAUUUUCAUCGGUAGAGCUCCAGGAUGGAAUACUAUUCCAGUCGAAAAGAUCUCCAAAACCAGCACUAGAUCCCAACAGGGUCACUAAAUUGUUUGGUAAGAAUAAUAUAUGUGAUUUGACUUGAACUUUGGCCAGCUGUGAACAGAUAUAUACAAACUUAAGACUAAGUUGCCACAGUAUGUGUUGAUUAAAAGUAGUAGUUUUCUUUGCCAAUGGCAAUGUGUUUCGGGUAAACAUUGAAAUGAACUUAAAUACAAAAAAUAGACUUACUUUAACACAGUCUUUUUUACGAUAUAGCUGUCCUCAACGCCAAGUAUGGCGAAGAAAAA